GACAGGUGGUGCAUGGUUGUCGUCAGCUCGUGUCGUGAGAUGUUGGUUAAGUCCCGCAACGAGCGCAACCCUUACGGUUAGUUGCCAGCGGUUAAAGCCGGGCACUCUAGCUGAACUGCCGUUGACAAAACGGAGAAGGUGGGAUGACGUCAAAUCAUCAUGCCCUUUAUAUCCUGGGCUACACACGUGCUACAAUGGCCUGUACAGAGGGCAGCGAAGGGGCAACCUGGAGCGAAUCCCAAAAAGCAGGUCUCAGUUCGGAUUGCAGGCUGCAACUCGCCUGCAUGAAGUCGGAAUCGCUAGUAAUCGCAGGUCAGCAUACUGCGGUGAAUACGUUCCCGGGCCUU
rnacentral:rRNA from 1 species